rnacentral:rRNA from 1 species
GCUUUACUGUUCCCUGCAUUGGGUUCUCGGCCUUCCUGCGCAGCCUAGGUGGAGGCACAGAAGCUCCUCUUCCGGGAGGGUCAAGCCAUCCGUGAGAGACAACCCUGGAAGGGCUAAGAUCCUAAACCAAUGGAACCGUGUCAGCAGACAGUUUCUCUGGGGCAGAGGCCUCCCAAAGAGUAAUGGAGGCGUGCAAAGGUUCCCUCAGGCCUGGACGGGAAUCAGUUUAAGAGAGUGUAAAGGCAGAAGGGAGCUUGACUGCAAGACCAACAAGUCGAGCCAGGGACGAAAGUCGGCCUUAGUGAUCCGACGGUGCCGAGUGGAAGGGCCGUCGCUUAUCGGAUAAAAGUUA